UGAGUUCUGUCCAAGUACCUAAGUCACAGUCUCAACAAUGGACAGGAUCUGUGCAUGACAGCCCCAACCUCAUUUGCAAGCAGUGUCCUAAUAGGGGACACACAGCCUCACAAGGGUGUUUGAUCUUGAUUCAAAAAUCACCGUCUUACCCGUGAUCUGGAUCCAUGUAUGAGAAUCACACAUCCAACUUUCAAUUGCCUCCAGCUCCAUGUUGUUUGAAUUAAGUGCCACAUGUGAGGCUAAGGUGAGCCCAGCGUCAACCACAAGUGUUUUCAGAUACAUUCACGAGAGGUACCUUGGGGAGUUUUAUCAAGUGAUGUGCAAAAACAAGAUUAAACCACAUUUAAUCUGAGAGCUCUUCUUCUUACCUUCUCUUUGCAUAUCGCUUCCUAUGGAAAGUGAAGGCUCUCGUCUUUCUUUACUGGUCAAAUAAACUAAAAACCUAGGCUGUGCCACUUACUGAAUUUUUGACAAAAUAUUCUCCUUGGGCCAGAAGCAGUGAUACCACUGGCAAACUAUCAAUUCAAAAACUCAAGCUUUACCCUAGAUCUUCAGAGUCAAAAUCUACAUUUUAACAAGAUCUCCUGUUAAUUGAUUUGAGAAUAAGAUGUGAGAAGUAUGCUUUUAACUCACCAUGAAGUUUCCA
rnacentral:lncRNA from 1 species